rnacentral:rRNA from 1 species
GACGAACGCUGGCGGCGUGCUUAACACAUGCAAGUCGAACGGAAAGGCCCUGCUUUUGUGGGGUGCUCGAGUGGCGAACGGGUGAGUAACACGUGAGUAACCUGCCCUUUACUUUGGGAUAACUUCAGGAAACUGGGGCUAAUACCGGAUAGGAGCUCCUGCUGCAUGGUGGGGGUUGGAAAGUUUCGGCGGUUGGGGAUGGACUCGCGGCUUAUCAGCUUGUUGGUGGGGUAGUGGCUUACCAAGGCUUUGACGGGUAGCCGGCCUGAGAGGGUGACCGGCCACAUUGGGACUGAGAGACGGCCCAGACUCCUACGGGAGGCAGCAGUGGGGAAUAUUGCACAAUGGGCGGAAGCCUGAUGCGGCAACGCCGCGUGCGGGAUGACGGCCUUCGGGUUGGAAACCGCUUUCGCCUGUGACGAAGCGUGAGUGACGGUAAUGGGUAAAGAAGCACCGGCUAACUACGUG